GCCGUCGUGGUGUAGUGGUCAGCACGCUCGAACAGAGAAGUCGUAACCGAGAGGUCCGUGGUUCGAUUCCCGGCGAAGGCU
rnacentral:tRNA from 1 species